GCGGGUGUGGCGGAACUGGCAGACGCGCUGGAUUUAGGUUCCAGUGGGGCAACCCGUGGAGGUUCGAAUCCUCUCACCCGUA
rnacentral:tRNA from 1 species